UGGGUCUGAGAUUCUGAGACGGAGAGAGAGAGAGCAAACUAGCUUUGCGGCUGGAUCCCACUUGGCCUCUGUUGCCUCCUGCAGAAAACUGAAUGCUGUUGUUCGUCAGGGAAAAGAAGCUUUAUUUCUUUGUGCAAACGAACAUGUCACAUCAGGGCGGACCACGUCUCCAGAAGCUUCGGUUUAGUGGACACUCACACGGAAGACAGGAGGGUAAACUGAGGCUCAGGUUGUCAUCAGCUCAAAGUGACGGGCCCUCAUCCAUCUAGGGCCUAAUGAUUUUCAACAAAGGUGCCAGGACUAUUCAAAGGAGAGAGAAGACAAUCCUCAGCAAAUGGUUCUGGAGCAGCUGUCUAGCCACAUGCCAAAGAAGGAAGUUGGGCCCCUUCACUUCAUUUCAUAUAUACAAAUUAAAACAAAAUGGGUCAGUAAUCUGGGU